rnacentral:tRNA from 1 species
GAAAAUGUAGAUCCAACAUUGACCCGUCAGUCUACACCGGACCAAAGAUUAAUCGGCUUUUUUCU